GGAAGGCAACCAGAUGCAAUGCGUUUUUCACCAAUGGUUGCUAUGAGAUGUAGAUUGUUAUUCUUCAAUUUUUCUUCACGUGAAAAAUGCAUGCCAUCCAGAUACAAUCCGGAUGGGAAAAAACAAACACACUGAAUUUCAAAAACACACUACAAUCGCAGAAGAAAAUAAUUGAAUUGGCA